UACGUGGAUAUUCAUAGAGAAGGCAUUAUUUAUUUGGAUUUCAGAAAAACUAGUAUUUGUAUCAAAACAUUUGGGUUUCGUAUUAAGUCUUGCAUAAGCCUCCUCGUGACUGACAUGAAGUCUAUGAAAAAAGCUUCAAAGUUUUUUUGUUUUGUGUCGAAUUCCGAGAGAUAUUUCAGUUCGUAGAUAGGACGUGCAACAUUUUUUCUACUAUUUUUUGUAUUAACAGUAAACUUGUAUUAAAAUUAGUCAUCGCUUAAGGCGCCCCCCUUCGGACCAUAUACGAAGUGAUCGUUGAACGUGUAGGACUAUUUGCAGGAUCCAUCUGUUAGCCACUAGAGGCGCCAUAUCUUGUCCUUUAAGCUGGCAAUGACAUUCUUAAUGUGAAAUGCAAAAGUGAGGCGCCUAUGUAAGGUAACACACUUUCAUUGUUAUAGAGUCUUUUUGGAGUGUCUAUGUCCCCACUGCCCAUAUUUUAUGGUCGAGGCUAUUAUUCCAUCGGAAGGCACAUUUUAAAAUUUUUUCAAGAACUUUGGCAGGGUGUUCGUUGCUUUAGAAAAACAUCUGCUCCUGACUAAAAAGGGACUGCCAUGCGCAAUUGUGGCAAUCCAAUCGAUGGCUAGUGAGCAGCAUAAGUAAUGAACGUUUACAGGAUGGGCCCGAGGAUGCUUCCAAGGGGAACUACUGCAGAGAUAACUUUUGAAGUGGAAACGGUUAGACCACAGAAAAAGUCCUUUCGAAAAGGAAACUGACAAAGAUUUUGAAAAGUUGGUGGUGAAAAAGUCCUCUUAGCUUAUACAGAAGGCCCUGAUGCCAUACCCUGUCGAAUGCCUGUCGAAAUGCCCCUCACGAUGCACUUUUUCGGGGUGCCGUGGCCUUUUUUGAUGCCAAAUUAAACUCCAGAAUUGCUUAAACUCCCGAAUUAAAUAGCAAGAGGACCAGUAUGCACCUUUACAACAAGGCGAUAUUCACGGUUUAUCUCGGUAUUGGGAUAUGCUGAAGGCAAGAACAGGAGAGCAUGAUAAGGUGAUAUUACUAAUCAUACGGUUAAUGAUUCCGUCAGGACAAGGCUUCCUUUAUUUUAAGCUUCUUUAUAAUACUCCCGGUCUCUGGAAGUGAAACAGGACGAAGAGGCAAGAAAAGCUGUAGAUUUCUUCACCGUCUCACCCCUGGAAAGCUUUGAAGCGUUCUUUAAGAUCCUUAGUAAAGGCCUCUUCACGAUCUUGAGGCCGAAAUUCGUCUCCUUAUUGGGAGUGGAUUCUUCAAGCUCAUUGUUGAUGCUACCUUCGUUAAAUAACUCUAACAUCUUUCGAAUUCUGUGGGCAAGCCUACGAUAGAUCUGGUCACGGAGCCUGUCGUGUAUGCGUAGAUGUUCAUGUCAGAUCCCUGCGGAUAGCAGGGAGAUUACAGGGAGUAGAAGAGCCAGUCAAGGAUAACCCGAAAGUAAGAUGAAGCUGGUCCGAGCUUAGGUCAUGAGUACAGCAAUGAUCAUUUCUUGGGAAAGGAACUCCUGUCAGGAAAGAAAGUUUGUCUCCCAGUGGUCAAAACUUUACAAUUUCUGUAAAGCUUUAAUAAACAAGCUGCACCUGCAAUAGAUACGUUUUGAACAUAGAACAGUUUUAGAUAGCCAUGACUUUUUGAAAAUAUGA